ACCAUACAGGGGAACACUCGGCAGAGCCAGAGGCCUGGGCCCAAGUCCUGCCACCAGCUGGCUGUGAAACUGUGGUACAGCACCUUGUGUCCUGCCACCAGCCGGCUGUGAAACUGGUACAGCACCUUGUCCUCAGGUCCUUGGUUUCCUCACUUGUAAAUUCAUGGUUCUCCAUGGCAUCUCUGGUCUUCAACAUUAUUUUGCAUAGAGUCUCAGAAGCUUUAGUGUGAGCGGAUGAUAUGGGCACGAAGCAAGGCACCCAGAAGUGGGGGCAACUACUCUGCUUUCUAAAAUGCAAGGGAACCGGAAAAUCCAGGAGCCGUGCCAAAGAAAUGACUUACUGCAAAGAACCACUCUUCCCCACGAGACUUCGAGAAGACCCGCUGUCACGGACUGAGUUGUGUCCUCUUAAAAUUCAGAUGUUGGAGUCCAAACCCCCAGUAACUCAGAGUGUGAACGUAUUUGAAGAGGUCUUUAAAGAGGUGAUGAAGGGAGAGAGACCCCAUGAGCUCGUCAAGCUCCUUCUGUGACUGAUCAGAGAUCCCACCGUGAGUCCAGCUCCUGGUCCCAUGCUCUGGAUAUAUCGGUCCCUGGCAGCGUGGCUCCAUCUCCGUAGCCUGCUUUUGACAAAAGUGGAUACAUAAAUCUAGGGGCCACCUAGCUAGUUCUAAUAAGACUUUGGAAGUCAAAAGCUAAAGAAGACCAGGGGACCAAGCUGGAAAUCAGGCUCUGCAAUCAGAUUCCAGAGGGAAUGCCAUUCCACCCAAUCACCUAGCCACAACG
rnacentral:lncRNA from 1 species